GAUGAACGCUGGCGGCGUGCCUAAUACAUGCAAGUCGAGCGAACGGACGAGAAGCUUGCUUCUCUGAUGUUAGCGGCGGACGGGUGAGUAACACGUGGAUAACCUACCUAUAAGACUGGUAUAACUUCGGGAAACCGGAGCUAAUACCGGAUAAUAUUUUGAACCGCAUGGUUCAAAAGUGAAAGACGGUCUUGCUGUCACUUAUAGAUGGAUCCGCGCUGCAUUAGCUGGUUGGUAAGGUAACGGCUUACCAAGGCAACGAUGCAUAGCCGACCUGAGAGGGUGAUCGGCCACACUGGACCUGAGACACGGUCCAGACUCCUACGGGAGGCAGCAGUAGGGAAUCUUCCGCAAUGGGCGAAAGCCUGACGGAGCAACGCCGCGUGAGUGAUGAAGGUCUUCGGAUCGUAAAACUCUGUUAUUAGGGAAGAACAUAGGUGUAAGUAACUGUGCACAUCUUGACGGUACCUAAUCAGAAAGCCACGGCUAACUACGUG
rnacentral:rRNA from 1 species